AUGGAAGGCCUCCUACACUGGGAUUUCAAUCCUGGUCUAGCUGUGGCAGAUGAGGUACGUAGAAGGUUUGGAGAAACGGUGCACUUCUCACCAUCUCGCAAUACCAAGGAAUUUUUCUUGGAGGUUUCAUUUUCUUUGGCUUCGUUCCCUCUUUCUAAAGAUUCAGUGGGUGUGGCUUUGCAAUGUUGCAUU
rnacentral:rRNA from 1 species